GACCGACCGCACCUGAUUGGGUCCUGUCCGGAAGCACCACCCCUUUUAGAGUUUGUGCUAGGCAGCCUUGGACUAAACAAGGUUUGUGGGAAUAAGGAAAAUAAAAAUGAGGGUUAGCUUAGUUGGCAAUCCACAACAAUGAAGCUUCAGAUACUUAUUCUAAACAGGGUUAUAUUGAAGUUUGAACAUACCAGAGAUCAACCGGCGAGAAGCAUGUAACCAAAGAAUCAGCCUA